AGCUUGUUGGUGAGGUAAUGGCUCACCAAGGCGACGAUCAGUAUCUGGUUUGAGAGGACGAUCAGACACACUGGAACUGAGACACGGUCCAGACUCCUACGGGAGGCAGCAGUAGGGAAUUUUCCGCAAUGGGCGAAAGCCUGACGGAGCAAUCUCGCGUGAGGGAUGACGGCCUAUGGGUUGUAAACCUCUUUUUUCAGGGAGGAAUAACUGACGUGUACCUGAAGAAUAAGCAUCGGCUAACUCCGUGCCAGCAGCCGCGGUAAGACGGAGGAUGCAAGUGUUAUCCGGAAUCACUGGGCGUAAAGCGUCUGUAGGUGGUUUAAUAAGUCAACUGUUAAAUCUUAAAGCUUAACUUUGAAAUCGCAGUCGAAACUAUUAGACUAGAGUAUAGUAGGGGUAAAGGGAAUUUCCAGUGGAGCGGUGAAAUGCGUAGAGAUUGGAAAGAACACCGAUGGCGAAGGCACUUUACUGGGCUAUUACUAACACUCAGAGACGAAAGCUAGGGUAGCAAAUGGGAUUAGAUACCCUAGUAGUCCUAGCCGUAAACAAUGGAUACUAGAUGUUGAACAGAUCGACCUGUGCAGUAUCAAAGCUAACGCGUUAAGUAUCCCGCCUGGGAAGUAUGCUCGCAAGAGUGAAACUCAAAGGAAUUGGCGGGGGGAGGUGUGUAACAACUCACCUGCCGAAUGAACUAGCCCUGAAAAUGGAUGGCGCUGAAGCGGGCCACUUAUACUCCACCACUGAUGCAAAUGUUUCGUGUCAGUGAGUAGGAGGGCGUGAAGGUUGUCGUGCAGCUCGUGGCGUGAGCCAGAGUGAAACAGCCUUUAGUGCAGAUCUUGGUGGUAGUAGCAAAUAUUCAAAUGAGAACUUUGAAGACUGAAGUGGAGAAAGGUUCCACGUGAACAGCAAUUGGACGUGGGUUAGUCGAUCCUAAGAGAUAGGAGAAAUCCGUUGCAAGGUGGGCGUUUCGGCGCCCCUUCUAUCGAAAGGGAAUCGGGUUAAUAUUCCCGAACCAGGACGUGGAUGUUGAGUGGUAACACAAGCAAAGCCGGGGACGACGGCGGUAGCCCCGACGAGAGUUUUCUUUUCUUGUUAACAGAUUUCACCAACCCUGGAAUCGGAUUGACCGGAG
rnacentral:rRNA from 1 species